UGCCCAGGCUAUCUGCGUAGAGAGAAUGU
rnacentral:piRNA from 1 species